CACGUAGGGGGCAAGCGUUGUCCGGAUUUAUUGGGCGUAAAGGGCGCGUAGGCGGUCAGCACAAGUCAGUUGUGAAAUCUCCGGGCUUAACUCGGAAAGGUCAACUGAUACUGUGCGACUAGAGUGCGGAAGGGGCAACUGGAAUUCUCGGUGUAGCGGUGAAAUGCGUAGAUAUCGUAAGGAAGACCAGUGGCGAAGGCGGGUCUCUGGACAGUUCCUGACGCUGAGGCACGAAGGCCAGGGGAGCAAACGGG
rnacentral:rRNA from 1 species